GUCCGAUUAGCUAGUUGGUGAGGUAAUGGCCCACCAAGGCAACGAUUGGUAGCCGGACUGAGAGGUUGAACGGCCACAUUGGGACUGAGACACGGCCCAGACUCCUACGGGAGGCAGCAGUGGGGAAUAUUGCACAAUGGGGGAAACCCUGAUGCAGCGACGCCGCGUGGAGGAAGAAGGUCUUCGGAUUGUAAACUCCUGUUGUUGAGGAAGAUAAUGACGGUACUCAACAAGGAAGUGACGGCUAACUACGUGCCAGCAGCCGCGGUAAAACGUAGGUCACAAGCGUUGUCCGGAAUUACUGGGUGUAAAGGGAGCGCAGGCGGGAAGACAAGUUGGAAGUGAAAUCUAUGGGCUCAACCCAUAAACUGCUUUCAAAACUGUUUUUCUUGAGUAGUGCAGAGGUAGGCGGAAUUCCCGGUGUAGCGGUGGAAUGCGUAGAUAUCGGGAGGAACACCAGUGGCGAAGGCGGCCUACUGGGCACCAACUGACGCUGAGGCUCGAAAGUGUGGGUAGCAAACAGGAUUAGAUACCCUGGUAGUCCACACCGUAAACGAUGAUUACUAGGUGUUGGAGGAUUGACCCCUUCAGUGCCGCAGUUAACACAAUAAGUAAUCCACCUGGGGAGU
rnacentral:rRNA from 1 species